AUACGUAGGGUGCAAGCGUUAAUCGGAAUUACUGGGCGUAAAGCGUGCGCAGGCGGUUUUGUAAGACAGAGGUGAAAUCCCCGGGCUCAAACUGGGAACUGCCUUUGUGACUGCAAGGCUAGAGUACGGCAGAGGGGGAUGGAAUUCCGCGUGUAGCAGUGAAAUGCGUAGAUAUGCGGAGGAACACCGAUGGCGAAGGCAAGCCCCUGGGCCUGUACUGACGCUCAUGCACGAAAGCGUGGGGAGCAAACAGGAUUUGAUACCCUGGUAGUCCACGCCCUAAACGAUGUCAACUGGUUGUUGGGUCUUCAUUGACUCAGUAACGAAGCUAACGCGUGAAGUUGACCGCCUGGGGAGUACGGCCGCAAGGUUGAAACUCAAAUGAAUUGACGUGG
rnacentral:rRNA from 1 species